GACGAACGCUGGCGGCGUGCUUAACACAUGCAAGUCUAACGGAAAGGCCCUGCUUUUGUGGGGUGCUCGAGUGGCGAACGGGUGAGUAACACGUGAGUAACCUGCCCUUGACUUUGGGAUAACUUCAGGAAACUGGGGCUAAUACCGGAUAGGAGCUCCUGCUGCAUGGUGGGGGUUGGAAAGUUUCGGCGGUUGGGGAUGGACUCGCGGCUUAUCAGCUUGUUGGUGGGGUAGUGGCUUACCAAGGCUUUGACGGGUAGCCGGCCUGAGAGGGUGACCGGCCACAUUGGGACUGAGAUACGGCCCAGACUCCUACGGGAGGCAGCAGUGGGGAAUAUUGCACAAUGGGCGGAAGCCUGAUGCAGCAACGCCGCGUGCGGGAUGACGGCCUUCGGGUUGUAAACCGCUUUCGCCUGUGACGAAGCGUGAGUGACGGUAAUGGGUAAAGAAGCACCGGCUAACUACGUGCCAGCAGCCGCGGUGAUACGUAGGGUGCGAGCGUUGUCCGGAUUUAUUGGGCGUAAAGGGCUCGUAGGUGGUUGAUCGCGUCGGAAGUGUAAUCUUGGGGCUUAACCCUGAGCGUGCUUUCGAUACGGGUUGACUUGAGGAAGGUAGGGGAGAAUGGAAUUCCUGGUGGAGCGGUGGAAUGCGCAGAUAUCAGGAGGAACACCAGUGGCGAAGGCGGUUCUCUGGGCCUUUCCUGACGCUGAGGAGCGAAAGCGUGGGGAGCGAACAGGCUUAGAUACCCUGGUAGUCCACGCUGUAAACGGUGGGUACUAGGUGUGGGGUCCAUUCCACGGGUUCCGUGCCGUAGCUAACGCUUUAAGUACCCCGCCUGGGGAGUACGGCCGCAAGGCUAAAACUCAAAGGAAUUGACGGGGCCCCGCACAAGCGGCGGAGCAUGCGGAUUAAUUCGAUGCAACGCGUAGAACCUUACCUGGGUUUGACAUGGAUCGGGAGUGCUCAGAGAUGGGUGUGCCUCUUUUGGGGUCGGUUCACAGGUGGUGCAUGGCUGUCGUCAGCUCGUGUCGUGAGAUGUUGGGUUAAGUCCCGCAACGAGCGCAACCCUUGUUCACUGUUGCCAGCACGUUAUGGUGGGGACUCAGUGGAGACCGCCGGGGUCAACUCGGAGGAAGGUGGGGAUGACGUCAAGUCAUCAUGCCCCUUAUGUCCAGGGCUUCACGCAUGCUACAAUGGCUGGUACAGAGAGUGGCGAGCCUGUGAGGGUGAGCGAAUCUCGGAAAGUCGGUCUCAGUUCGGAUUGGGGUCUGCAACUCGACCUCAUGAAGUCGGAGUCGCUAGUAAUCGCAGACCAGCAACGCUGCGGUGAAUACGUUCCCGGGGCU
rnacentral:rRNA from 1 species